rnacentral:rRNA from 1 species
GAUCAUGGCUCAGGAUGAACGCUGGCGGCGUGCUUAAUACAUGCAAGUCGAACGGAGAGCUAGAAAUAGUUUUAGUGGCGAACGGGUGAGUAACGCGUUGGUGACCUGCCCCGAAGAGGGGGGAUAACGGUUCGAAAGGACUGCUAAUACCCCAUGAGAUCUCUGAGGUUAGAGGCUUGGAGAUGAAAGGCGAAAGCCGCUUCGGGAGGGGCCUGCGUCCCAUCAGCUAGUUGGUAGGGUAAAGGCCUACCAAGGCGAAGACGGGUAGGGGCCUGAGAGGGUGACCCCCCACAAUGGAACUGAAACACGGUCCAUACACCUACGGGUGGCAGCAGUAGGGAAUAUUGCACAAUGGGCGAAAGCCUGAUGCAGCAACGCCGCGUGCGCGACGAAGGCCUUCGGGUUGUAAAGCGCUUUUCGGGGAGAUGAGGAAGGACAGUAUCCCCGGAAGAAGGCUCGGCUAACUACGUGCCAGCCGCUGC